UAUCUUCUUCCUCUUCUUCAUCCUUUCAGCCAAAAAAAAAAAAAAAUUCAUCUCCUUCCUCAUUGUUUUCUUCACUGACCCAUUCAUCUUCAUCUCUUACCCUAGAUCGCCUCUCACAUUAGCUAAUCCUCAUCGUCAUGGCGGCCGAAAUCGCCAUCCUCAACUUGAAGAUGCUCGUUGCCUGCGGCAACCUCGUCAAGCUCAAAGCCUCUGACAACUUCUAUCCUUACCAAAACAGACAGCCCCAAAUUCAUAUAAAAUAACAAUUCAACCAUCAUUAAGGACGGUGUCAUCAUUUGCUAUCUUCUAUCUUCGUCAUCCAAAAUUCCUUGAUAACUCCAGCUCCUCCUCACGUCAAUUCCAGCGCCGUCAUCAACGACAUCGAUUCCGCCGCACAAUUCCGUCGUCAAUCUUGGGUUCUGGGCGCGAGUUCCAGUUCUUGUGGUCACUGACGAUCUUGACAGUGAAGAUUAAGUCGGGUCCAAGAGUGGGUAUGGGUAUGGGUCAACAAGAAGAGAGAGAAUUGGAAUGAGAUACGGGAGAGAAAGAAGAGGGAGAUGUAGAAGGUUGCAGUUUUUCAUGGUCCAGUUGGGUAUUGGGGGAUUCAAGGAAUUUGUAGGAUGCUGGUAAUUGAAGAUAUAUGUUGGGGAGCUGAGGUUGAUAAUCUCUGUUGAAGACAGACAAACGGAAUUCUGGAAUUGCUGAAGAAGAAGAAGCUGGAUCAUAUGGAAUUGGAAGAUGAGGAAGAAGGAAAAAAAAAAAAAAAAGGAGAGAAGUCCAUUUUGCCCUUCGUGUUCUAAAACCCAGAUUAAGGUGGGCCAUAAUGUCGGUGCCAAGUCAGCACCUGACGUCACUUUUCGAAUCAAAUUUGAAAUUUGGACGCGCGUGAUAGAAAAUGAAAGUGCAAGGACCAUCAUGAUUAAAAAAAAAAAUCAGGGACCAAACUGCUGUGUGCCCCAAAGUUGGAGGGGACAAACUGAAUUUAGUCCUAUAUUUUAUUGUU